CCUUGUGAAAAGAAAUAACGGGCAACAGGAUUUAUACGAGAGUGUUGGUGUGAGGCCUCCUCGGGCUGGGUAUCUCAGUUUGAGACGCACCGGCUCCACCGCUUUGUCUCCUGGAGAGACUGGAAAGCCCUCCCCUUUGCCGUAUUUUUGUUUUCCCCCCUCUUUUCUCUCUUCCAUCUCUCGCCGUCUAUUCGUCCGGAAGUUAACUGAAUCCCAGCUCGCUUCGCUCGGUUCUGAUUCCAGAGAAGGAGUUAAAAUCGGACAGUAUGCCGUGGGUGUCGUGGACGACCAACUAUUUCGCGGAGUGCGUGCGCUUGGCCGUCUUCUUCCGUGUUAUUCUUUGACGACGUGGAUUUUGAUCAUCGGGAGUACUCUUCGCCGAAUUUUGAUUAUAUCGAGUUGAGGAAGUUAGAAUGUACGUUGCGGUCAAUCUGAAGAUAAACCGGAUAGUGAAGAAGGCUGGAGACGUUAUAAUGAGCGUUAGAAUUAUUGCUUAUUAUCAAUUGAUGCAAGUUUGUCAGGCUGAGUACUUCCGCCAGUUGCUUAAGCCUGUCACGUAGAUUGAACUCCUAGGUCGAACGUAAGUUGAUCUGCAACACGUGGGCAACACCUUCUUUUUCCUUCGUUACUUGAUCCAUCUCAAAGAAAUUUUUGAUGAAGUCCAAUCAGGAAGAGAGCCAACUCACGAAAGAUAAGCUCUUCUUUACUUGUUAGAAUCAAAUGGCUACUCUGACUGGGAUGUUUGAUUGAAGAAUUCCAACAUUUCCAACUUAGUACUUUCAGAUCAUUCUUGUUAGCAGCAGUUAAACACAGGUCAGAUCACUUCCAUUUACAGCAGUGUAGCAGUCUGAUAAUACCCGGUCGAGACCUAUGCAGAGAGACCGAAGAUUCUUUUCUAAGAAGGCUUCCCGAUCUCGUGGUUAUGAAGUGGGCAGUUGUGCUCUUGACUCUGCUGCUGGGGCUUGCGAUGCUGAUGAUUCUGCCGCUGCGCCUUCCUUUGGCGAAGCUCUGACAGGCAUGAAGCAUCAUGAAUUUCCCGUUCCACUUAAUGGAGUUGAGUUCCAACCCUCUGAAACAUGUCCUAAGAACUUCGUCAUCUUCGACCAGACGUAUAACAAAAGCCGGGUCAUGUUCCACCCUUCUUUGGCCCACAAUUUUGGCUCUUCAAGCUUUGAUGUACAUGGAACUCAUGCCCAUGAAGCUGGCAAAAGUAUGGAUGGAGAUGACUACAACAAGGGAGAGUAUUCCUCUCCUCACAUAGAGGAUGCGGAAGAAAUCGAUGCAUUGCUUAGUUCAGAGGAAGAAGAUGAUGAUGUGGUCAGCACCGGUCGGACUCCAGGCAAUUGGGUUGGCAGUUCUCCGGAUUCGUCCUGUUCAUUUUCAGAUGGAAUUAGAUCUAGCAAGUCGAAGUUCAAUUCUACUGAUGCGAGCAGCAGCGAGAGGAAGCGGGAGAAAAUGAAGAAGAUGGUUAAAACACUUCGAGGAAUCAUUCCCGGUGGAGACCGGAUGGACACGCCUGCCGUUCUCGACGAAGCUGUCAAGUACCUGAAAUCCCUCAAGGUGGAAGUGAAGAAGCUUGGAGUGCAGAAUUUGGACAGCUGAAAUGGCGCGCAUGGUGGGUAGUCUCACUAAGCUUACCACUCAAAAGGAAACUGAAUCCUCAUCUAAAAGCAUAAACUGUCAUGAUGCUGUAUGUUGGUUGUGUUAUUUAUGCCCCACGUACGCCGGCUUUAUGCUCCAUGGCGAGAGCAUGGAUGGAGACAAGUGGGGACAAAAAUGCUGCAGCAGCGAGGGAGUGGAGAGGAUCUGGUAAAGAAGCAAACAAAAGCUAGCAUACACGAGACAUUUGAAUCGAGUGCAAUGAUGGACGUGGCGUCCUUUUGGUCAAGCCCAUGAAACCCUGCACUUGAUAGUCUGCAGCAUCUCUCUCUCCACCUUGUAGUUUGUGAGCAGUGUAACUCGAGAGGUUGGAAAUGACCCUUUCCUAUGUUUGGGUGGUGCAGGUAUUUUCAUUUCUUUCUCAAGUCUGAGAUUUCUACACAGCUGUCGUGUUGGUUCUUUCUUAUUAGGUGACAUGUCUUCGAAUUGGAAUAUGCAGUGGUAAAAGCUUUGUGGAGGGGUUUCCUUCUCUUAAUUUUCUUUGUG